GGAAAACUUACCAGGUCAAGACAUGGGCGUGAUUGACAGGCUAAUGACUUUUCUCGAUUCCAUGGAUGGUGGUGCAUGGUCGCACUUAGUUGGUGCAGUGAUUUGUCAGGUUUAUUCCGGUAACGAACGAGACCUCGGCCUUGUAAAUAGCUAUGCUGCUUACAGGGACAUUGGCGGCUACGCCAAGGAAGCUCGAGGCAAUUGCAGAUCUGGAAUGCCCUUAGAUGUCCUGGGUCGCACGCGUGCUACAAUGACGCCACGAACGAGCUUGCGUGAUGAAAGUUACGCAUAAUCAGCAGUCGGCGUCUUAAGGGAUAGUCUCUUGUAACUGUGGGACUCCAACUAGGAAUGUCUCGUAAGCACAAGUCAACAUCUUGUGUUGAUUACGUCCCUGCUCUUUGUACACACCGCCCGUCGCUCCUACCGAUCGAAUUUUAGGUAAUUUGAUGGACGUAAGAAGUCAAAUAACCUGAGCACUUAGGGAAGGAAAAUUGUGACGC
rnacentral:rRNA from 1 species